rnacentral:rRNA from 1 species
UCAUGGUACCAUACUACCAUGAACAUGCCUGAUCUCAUUUAGUCUCAGAAACUAAGCAGAGUCAGGCCCAAUUGAUACUUGAAUGAAGAUUCCUGGAAAUACUGGGUACUGUAGGCA